rnacentral:rRNA from 1 species
GACGAACGCUGGCGGCGUGCUUAACACAUGCAAGUCGAACGGAAAGGCCCUGCUUUUGUGGGGUGCUCGAGUGGCGAACGGGUGAGUAACACGUGAGUAACCUGCCCUUGACUUUGGGAUAACUUCAGGAAACUGGGGCUAAUACCGGAUAGGAGCUCCUGCUGCAUGGUGGGGGUUGGAAAGUUUCGGCGGUUGGGGAUGGACUCGCGGCUUAUCAGCUUGUUGGUGGGGUAGUGGCUUACCAAGGCUUUGACGGGUAGCCGGCCUGAGAGGGUGACCGGCCACAUUGGGACUGAGAUACGGCCCAGACUCCUACGGGAGGCAGCAGUGGGGAAUAUUGCACAAUGGGCGGAAGCCUGAUGCAGCAACGCCGCGUGCGGGAUGACGGCCUUCGGGUUGUAAACCGCUUUCGCCUGUGACGAAGCGUGAGUGACGGUAAUGGGUAAAGAAGCACCGGCUAACUACGUGCCAGCAGCCGCGGUGAUACGUAGGGUGCGAGCGUUGUCCGGAUUUAUUGGGCGUAAAGGGCUCGUAGGUGGUUGAUCGCGUCGGAAGUGUAAUCUUGGGGCUUAACCCUGAGCGUGCUUUCGAUACGGGUUGACUUGAGGAAGGUAGGGGAGAAUGGAAUUCCUGGUGGAGCGGUGGAAUGCGCAGAUAUCAGGAGGAACACCAGUGGCGAAGGCGGUUCUCUGGGCCUUUCCUGACGCUGAGGAGCGAAAGCGUGGGGAGCGAACAGGCUUAGAUACCCUGGUAGUCCACGCUGUAAACGGUGGGUACUAGGUGUGGGGUCCAUUCCACGGGUUCCGUGCCGUAGCUAACGCUUUAAGUACCCCGCCUGGGGAGUACGGCCGCAAGGCUAAAACUCAAAGGAAUUGACGGGGCCCCGCACAAGCGGCGGAGCAUGCGGAUUAAUUCGAUGCAACGCGUAGAACCUUACCUGGGUUUGACAUGGAUCGGGAGUGCUCAGAGAUGGGUGUGCCUCUUUUGGGGUCGGUUCACAGGUGGUGCAUGGCUGUCGUCAGCUCGUGUCGUGAGAUGUUGGGUUAAGUCCCGCAACGAGCGCAACCCUUGUUCACUGUUGCCAGCACGUUAUGGUGGGGACUCAGUGGAGACCGCCGGGGUCAACUCGGAGGAAGGUGGGGAUGACGUCAAGUCAUCAUGCCCCUUAUGUCCAGGGCUUCACGCAUGCUACAAUGGCUGGUACAGAGAGUGGCGAGCCUGUGAGGGUGAGCGAAUCUCGGAAAGCCGGUCUCAGCUCGGAUUGGGGUCUGCAACUCGACCCCAUGAAGUCGGAGUCGCUAGUAAUCGCAGAUCAGCAACGCUGCGGUGAAUACGUUCCCGGGGCU